AUAAAAUGUUCUUUUACACGAGGUGUUUCAUUCUGGCUGUAAUUUUCUUCUGGCUGAGUCGCAUAAAUUACAUAUCUUUCAAAUAUCGCCAAAUAUGAGAAAUACAAUGCUAGUGUUCGUUAUCUUAGGUUUGGUUGCUUCGGUCAACUGUGUGUGUGACACGACGGCUGCGGGGACGUGCGCUACCACUCUAGCGUCAGA